rnacentral:lncRNA from 1 species
CCUAUUGUUUCCUUGCUUGUACAGAAAAGGUUUCACUGGAUGCCCUCUGUCUAGACUCCCAAUAACCGCGGUGCAGGGCUGGGGGCUUUCCAGUGCCCACCAACACCCCCCCGCCCGCACCCCUGACAAGUGUAGCUAGGAGACAGGUUAAUCUUCAGAGCUGCUGGCCAAGGUGAAACUGCAGCCCGGACCACAAGCACGGUCAGUCGGCGGUGCCUCCGUUCGUGUGCACACCACCCAUUACCCAAACCUGACUGGCUUCCUUCACACCAUCACCUGAGGGGCAAAUGCAUGCCCCCCUCCCCUGCCCAACCAUCUCACUGCUGCCUGAACAGGUUUGAGGAACUAAAAUCUGCAAAGCUGAGCUGAGCGUACGUAGGCAAAGAAAAAGCAAAACAAGAGGCCUCUCUUUCCAGAUCUCGGAAUUCCUCUUAAAUAAACUCGGAUACUCGGAUAAAUAAACUGAAAAUAAUAGCGUCCUCACCUAGAACAAGAGGCCUUGGCUGGCCUUGCUUCUAAAAACACAACCACCUCAAAGGGGCCAAUGACACCGGGGCUGGCUAGACACACCGACCUACAAGGCAAAGCGCAAGCGAAACCCGGGACUGCGCUGGGCACGGUUUAAAUCGGACUGUUCUUUCUCCAGGCUGAGGGGGCGCUCGCCGUCCCCAACAGAGACAGUGCAGGGACAAUGGUGCGCUAGGCAUGAUCUUUUUCUUUGGAAGGAAACCCAUAAACCCUUAAUUCAACCCCCAUCCCUAAGAAACCUUCGUGAGGUGGAAGAGAAGAGUGGUCCAGGUCACAUCAGGUUAUGCACCGCGGCCGGGGACGCACUCUUGGCCUGGGGAUAGGGCAAGAACCUCCCAACAACGUUGGGCACACUUGAACACCCCUGAUACAGAAGGAUCAAGAAGGACCGGCCCGUCCCUACCCAUGGAGAUUUCCACCCCAAGCUGUCUGCAGGCUGGUGAGCAGGAGGUCUCAGGUGUGGUGGGAAAGGGAGCAAGUUUCCUUU